rnacentral:rRNA from 1 species
GACGAACGCUGGCGGCGUGCUUAACACAUGCAAGUCGAACGGAAAGGCCUGCUUUCCCUUGUGGAUUGCGGGUACUCGAGUGGCGAACGGGUGAGUAACACGUGAGUGAUCUGCCCCCAACUUGGGUAUAAGCCUGGGAAACUGGGUCUAAUUCCCGAUAGGACUGCAGGGUGGUGCCUGUGGUGGAAAACGAUUUUCUAGUGGUUGGGGAUGAGCUCGCGGCCUAUCAGCUUGUCGGUGGGGUAAUGGCCUACCAAGGCGGCGACGGGUAGCCGGCCUGAGAGGGUGGACGGCGACAUUGGGACUGAGAUACGGCCCAGACUCCUACGGGAGGCAGCAGUGGGGAAUAUUGCACCAUGGGCGGAAGCCUGAUGCAGCGACGCCGCGUGGGGGAUGACGGCCUUCGGGUUGUAAACUCCUUUCGACCGCGAGGAAGCCACCUGGUUGGAAGGGUGGUGACGGUAGUGGUAGAAGAAGCACCGGCUAACUACGUG